rnacentral:rRNA from 1 species
CCUACGGGUGGCUGCAGUGGGGAAUAUUGGACAAUGGGGGGAACCCUGAUCCAGCCAUGCCGCGUGUGUGAAGAAGGCCCUCGGGUUGUAAAGCACUUUCAGUGAGGAAGAACGCCUGGUGGUUAAUACCCAUCAGGAAAGACAUCACUCACAGAAGAAGCACCGGCUAACUCCGUGCCAGCAGCCGCGGUAAUACGGAGGGUGCGAGCGUUAAUCGGAAUUACUGGGCGUAAAGCGCGCGUAGGUGGCUUGAUAAGCCGGUUGUGAAAGCCCCGGGCUCAACCUGGGAACGGCAUCCGGAACUGUCAAGCUAGAGUGCAGGAGAGGAAGGUAGAAUUCCCGGUGUAGCGGUGAAAUGCGUAGAGAUCGGGAGGAAUACCAGUGGCGAAGGCGGCCUUCUGGACUGACACUGACACUGAGGUGCGAAAGCGUGGGUAGCAAACAGGAUUAGAUAUCCCAGUAGUC